GACAGAGGCCUCAAGCGUUAGGCGGAAUCACUGGGCUUAAAGCGUGUGUAGGCGGGUCGUUAAGUACCUUGUGAAAUCCCACGGCUCACCCGUGGAACUGCUGGGUAUACUGGCGAUCUUGGGCCAUUCAGGGGCAACUGGAACAAGCGGUGGAGCGGUGAAAUGCGUAGAUAUCAGGAGGAACACCGAUUACGAAGGCAGCUCGCUGGGACGUAACUGACGCUGAGACGCGAAAGCGUGGGGAGCAAACAGG
rnacentral:rRNA from 1 species